rnacentral:rRNA from 1 species
AAUUCGAUUCAGGACGAAGUCCUUCGGGAUGUAAACUGCUUUUAGGGGAAGGGAAUCAUGACCGUACCCAGAAUAAGCCACGGCUAACUCUGUGCCAGCAGCCGCGGUAAUACAGAGGUGGCAAGCGUUGCUCGGAAUCACUGGGCUUAAAGGGCAUGUAGGCGGCCAAGUAAGCGUCUUGUGAAAUCCCCCGGCUUAACCGGGGAACGGCUCGACGAACUGCUUGGCUCGAGGGAGACAGGGGCGACCGGAACUCAGGGUGGAGCGGUGAAAUGCGUAGAUAUCCUGGGGAACGCCGGUGGUGAAAACGGGUCGCUGGGUCUUUCCUGACGCUGAGGUGCGAAAGCUAGGGGAGCGAACGGGAUUAGAUACCCCGGUAGUCCUAGCCGUAAACGAUGCGAACUGGGUUGGGGAGGUUUUACCGCCUUCCCAGCCGGAGCAAAAGCGUUAAGUUCGCCGCCUGGGAAAUACGGCCGCAAGGUUAAAACUCAAAGGAAUUGACGGAAUCACUA